AUUAACGCUAGCGGCAGGCCUAAUACAUGCAAGUCGUGGGGCAGCGGGUGUAGCAAUACAUGCCGGCGACCCGGCGCACGGGUGCGUACCACGUAUGCAAUCUACCUAUAACUGGGGAAUAACUCUUCGAAAGAAGGGCUAAUACCGCAUAACACUUCGAGGUGGCAUCACCAUGAAGUUAAACCUCCGGGGGUUAUACGAUGAGCAUGCGUCCGAUUAGAUAGUUGGCGGGGUAACGGCCCACCAAAGUCUACGAUCGGUAGGGGGUCUGAGAGGACGAUCCCCCACACUGGUACUGAGAUACGGACCAGACUCCUACGGGAGGCAGCAGUAAGGAAUAUUGGACAAUGGUCGCAAGACUGAUCCAGCCAUGCCGCGUGCGGAUGAAGGUGCUCAGCACUGUAAACUGCUUUUGUUCGGAAAAAACCCCCUGUUUUCUAACGGGGCUAAUUGUACUGAAAGAAUAAGGGACGGCUAACUUCGUGCCAGCAGCCGCGGUAAUCCGAAGGUCCCAAGCGUUAUCCGGAUUUAUUGGGUGUUAAAGGGUGCGUAGGCGGGUUAUUAAGUCAGUGGUGAAAGCUCCAUGCCUAACAUGGAAAUUGCCAUUGAUACUGAUGAUCUUGAGGUACAUUUGAAGUGGGCGGAAUGUGUCAUGUAGCGGUGAAAUGCUUAGAUAUGACACAGAACACCGAUUGCGAAGGCAGCUCGCUAAACUGUAACUGACGCUGAGGCACGAAAGCGCGGGGAGCAAACAGGAUUAGAUACCCUGGUAGUCCGCGCCCUAAACGAUGAUCACUCGAUGUGUGCGAUACACUGUACGCGUCCAAGCAAAAGCAAUAAGUGAUCCACCUGGGGAGUACGGCCGCAAGGCUGAAACUCAAAGGAAUUGGACGGGGGCCCGCACAAGCGGAGGAGCAUGUGGUUUAAUUCGAUGAUACGCGCGGAACCUUACCAGGGCUUGAAAGUUAGUGAAUGACGUAGAAAUAUGUCAGCCAGCAAUGGCACGAAACUAGGUGCUGCCAUGGCUGUCGUCAGCUCGUGCCGUGAGGUGUUGGGUUAAGUCCCGCAACGAGCGCAACCCCUAUCAUUAGUUGCUAACAGGUUAAGCUGAGGACUCUAGUGAGACUGCCCGCGGUAAGCGCGGAGGAAGGUGGGGAUGACGUCAAGUCAUCACGGCCCUUACGUCCUGGGCUACACACGUGCCACAAUGGCCGGUACAGAAGGCAGCUACACAGUAAUGUGAUGCUAAUCCCUAAAGCCGGUCUCAGUUCGGAUCGAGGUCUGCAACCCCGACCUCGUGAAGCUGGAUUCGCUAGUAAUCGCAGAUCAGCCAUGCUGCGGUGAAUACGUUCCCGGGCCUUGUACACACCGCCCGUCAAGCCAUGGAAGUUGGGGAGUACCUAAAGUCGGUAACCGCAAGGAGCCGCCUAGGGUAAAACCAACGACUGGGGCU
rnacentral:rRNA from 1 species